AAGAGAGAUACAGAGGUUGUGGUGUUGGCUUGAAACCAAUUUUUGGGGGUUCGAUUCCUUCCUCUCUUA
rnacentral:tRNA from 1 species